rnacentral:rRNA from 1 species
UACGUAGGGGGCAAGCGUUGUCCGGAAUCAUUGGGCGUAAAGAGCGCGUAGGCGGCCCUGUAAGUCCGCUGUGAAAGUCAAGGGCUCAACCCUUGAAUGCCGGUGGAUACUGCAGGGCUAGAGUCCGGAAGAGGCGAGUGGAAUUCCUGGUGUAGCGGUGUAAUGCGCAGAUAUCAGGAGGAACACCGAUGGCGAAGGCAGCUCGCUGGGACGGUACUGACGCUGAGGCGCGAAAGCGUGGGGAGCAAACAGG